GAGGUAGCAGACAGACAUAAACAUUUACUCUUGGGGUGGAGGUCUAUUGGCAGAGUGGCCAUUUUACACAGAUUUCGCGUCGUGUGAAUGCGCUGGGAGGACAGGAAGGACGGGAUUUGUUCCAACCCCUCUGUGCCAGGUCCUAACCAAGACUCCAGUCCCGGGCGGGCGGACCACGGGAGCGUUAGGAACCGACCGCCAAGAAAAAGUCACUGGUAAGAUAAAAGCUAGUGAAAUAUACCUUGUGGACCACCACAUCUCCAGCCAGCCCAAGUGCCUCUCUUCACCACUUAUGUUGGACACCAAAAUACACCCCAGUUGCUUCUGCUCCACCAGUGCAUCGUGCACCUGCGCCAGCUCCUGGAAAUACAAAGAGUGCAAAUGCUCCUCCUCUAAGAAGAGCUACUGCACUUGCUGCCCGUGGACUGGGCCAAGUGUGCCCAGGGCUGCACCUGCAAAGGGGCAUCCAACAGGUGCAGCAGCUAUGCCUAG